rnacentral:rRNA from 1 species
CGUCUAUAUACGUAUAGCAUAUCAAUAAGCGGAGGAAAAGAAACUAACUAGGAUUCCCUCAGUAACGACGAGUGAAGCGGGAAGAGCUCAAAUUUGAAAUCUUCAAGGUUCUACCUUGACGAAUUGUAGUUUAAAGAAGUGUUUUCUGUUGGAGUUUUGGUAAAAGUUCUUUGGAAUAGGACAUCAUAGAGGGUGAGAAUCCCGUAUUUGACCAUCAUUUCCAACUUUGUGAUACACUUUCAAAGAGUCGGAUUGUUUGGGAAUGCAGUCCAAAAUGGGUGGUAAAUUUCAUCUAAAGCUAAAUACUGGCGAGAGACCGAUAGCGAACAAGUACCGUGAGGGAAAAAUGAAAAGAACUUUGAAAAGAGAGUUAAACAGUACGUGAAAUUGUCAAAAGGGAAGCGUUUGACACCAGUGUUGUUUUCUCGAAAAUCAAUUAAAAAUGGCGGGAUUUUGUGUUGUAUUGACUUUAUCAGCUUUCUGCACUUUUUUCCUGUCUUUUUUAAUGCACUUUUCGUUUAACAAGUCAACAUCAAUUUCUUUUGUUGUAAAAGGGUCAUUGGAAGGUGGCUUUCUUUUCGGUGAAAGUGUUUAUAGCCUUUGACUUCUGCAAUCGGAAAGAUUGAGGUCUGCAGCGUAGAUCCUUCGGGGUUAGAUGCAUUUGUGCUAAGUUAUAGCCUUUCAUAGACAACUUGUUGACUAUGAUCAGUCAUGUAGCUUACUCGCUUAUGUUAUUUUACCUACGCUUAGGAUGUUGACGAUCAGCUGAGCGCG